ensembl:snRNA Gm22384 predicted gene, 22384
AUACCAUCAUUUGGUGAUAUAUAUAAUGAGAAUUGGAAUAGUACAGAAAUUACCAUAGCCCCUGUCCAAGGAUGGUUUAUACUUUGUAAAUCAGUCCAUAUAAUU